UCAUCCAGCUUAUCUAUUUUCAUUUAUAAAUGUAUUGAAUUGGUCUCGAGCGUUUCCUGCCUGGCAAGGGGAGUGACCUCGCUGGGAAUUUUCUGAAGCUGAGCUGCGUCUGACAGCUCUUGCAGCUAAUUCAUGGCUGCCUGCUACGUGGGAGCGCUGGCGCAGAAGAAGCUCUCGUUGAUGAACCCCCAGCGGACCUGCCUUAAUUUGGCCCAUUGGAUGUAAUGUACAUGAACCAACACAGCUGAGACACCCCUAGGGUGAGCUGCUCAGCCAGGCUCAGUGGCAGCAAAGCAUUCAAGAAAGUGGAAGCUGGCUGGCCCUGCCCAUCCACCGGACACAGCAGGAUGUAGCCAAGGCAGAAGUCCUGCUGAAGCUGAGGACUGGCCCCAAUAUAGAUUUGUUGUGCAUAAGAAGAAGAUCUUAGU